GAUGAACGCUGGCGGCCUGCCUAACACAUGCAAGUCGAGCGGGAAGCUUUUUAAGGAUUCUUCGGAUGAAUUAAAAGUGGAGAGCGGCGGACGGGUGAGUAACGCGUGAGAAACCUGCCCUAUACAGGGGGAUAGCCAUUGGAAACGAUGAUUAAUACCCCAUAUGACCACAGUAUCGCAUGAUACAGCGGUGAAAACUCCGGUGGUAUAGGAUGGUCUCGCGUCUGAUUAGCUAGUUGGUGGGGUAACGGCCUACCAAGGCGACGAUCAGUAGCCGGCCUGAGAGGGUGACCGGCCACACUGGAACUGAGACACGGUCCAGACUCCUACGGGAGGCAGCAGUGGGGAAUAUUGCACAAUGGGGAAAGCCUGAUGCAGCAACGCCGCGUGGAGGAUGACACUUUUUUCGGAGCGUAAAACUCCUUUUAUAUAGGAAGAUAAUGACGGUACUAAUGAAUAAGCACCGGCUAACUCCGU
rnacentral:rRNA from 1 species